GAUGAACGCUAGCGGCAGGCCUAAUACAUGCAAGACGAACGGCAAGAUUUUUAGCAAUAGAGAUCCUAGAGUGUCGUAAGGGUGCGUAACACGUAUGCAAUCUGCACUCAACAGGAGGAUAGCUCCCCGAAAGGGGAAUUAAUACUCCAUAAUAUCACGAGAAGGCAUCUGAUUGUGAUUAAACUACAAGGGGUUGCGGAUGAGCAUGCGUCUGAUUAGUUAGUUGGUGAGGUAACGGCUCACCAAGACGAUGAUCAGUAGGGGAACUGAGAGGCUGAUCCGCCACACUGGCACUGAGAUACGGGCCAGACUCCUACGGGAGGCAGCAGUAGGGAAUAUUGGUCAAUGGGUGAGAGCCUGAACCAGCCAUGCCGCGUGCAGGAAGACGGCCUUCUGGGUUGUAAACUGCUUUUAUCUGGGGAUAAAAUAUCCUUGCGAGGAGAAUUGAAGGUACCAGAGGAGUAAGCCACGGCUAACUACGUGCCAGCCGCCGCAGUAA
rnacentral:rRNA from 1 species